ACGGCGAGUGAAGCGGCAACAGCUCAAAUUUGAAAGCUGGCCUUCGGGUCCGCAUUGUAAUUUGUAGAGGAUGCUUUGGGUGAAACGCCAGUCUAAGUUCCUUGGAACAGGACGUCAUAGAGGGUGAGAAUCCCGUAUGUGACUGGAAAUGUUAACCUAUGUAAAGCUCCUUCGACGAGUCGAGUUGUUUGGGAAUGCAGCUCUAAAUGGGAGGUAAAUUUCUUCUAAAGCUAAAUAUUGGCGAGAGACCGAUAGCGCACAAGUAGAGUGAUCGAAAGAUGAAAAGCACUUUGGAAAGAGAGUUAAAAAGCACGUGAAAUUGUUGAAAGGGAAGCGCUUGCAAUCAGACUUGUUUAAACUGUUCGGCCGGUCUUCUGACCGGUUUACUCAGUUUGGACAGGCCAGCAUCAGUUUCGGCGGCCGGAUAAAGGCUCUGGGAAUGUGGCCUUCACUUCGGUGAAGGUGUUAUAGCCCAGGGUGUAAUACGGCCAGCCGGGACUGAGGUCCGCGCUUCGGCUAGGAUGCUGGCGUAAUGGUUGUAAGCGACCCGUCUUGAAACACGGACCAAAA
rnacentral:rRNA from 1 species